UGUUUCUCUCUUUCUCUCUCUUCUAACCCUCAAAUCUCUCACCCACUUAUUUGAAUCUGAGAAACCCUAGAGUCUCAGAGAAACCGAUCCCUCAAAUCUCUCACUCUCUCUCUCUAAACCCUUCAACUCGAUUCAACCUUCUUCAGCUUGGUGAUUUAUCAUUUGGUUGAUCCAAUCUCAGAGUGAUUUUGAUUUCGAAGCUCCACCGCCAUCGCCACUGCCAUCUGUCUCUGCUUCUGCAUCGUCUACUAACCAUCUGCACGAUUUUGAUUUCAAUCCAAUCUCAGUUUUGUCGAUUCUUCUCUCUUUCGAUCUCUGUCUCUGUCUCUAUCUCCCUCUCUCUCGAUCUCUCAAUCUCUCUCUCAGAAUGAUUUUGGUUUUGCUGACAAAUUUUGUGACAAAAAUUGGGGGUUUGUGGCUUUUAUCGUCUAUUAGCACAAGAUUGUCACCAACAAUUAUUUCCAUUCCAAAGUCAUCUGACAGUGUCUCCUCUAGUUCAUCAUGGAGCAAGACUUGGGGGAGGUUAACUUGCAAAGAUCUGCGGUUGCACAAGUUGGUAUUUCGGGAUGAUGCACUGCCUGAUGGAACUGAACUAGCUUAUUUUGUUCGUGGGCAGAAUUCUGUGAACGCCCAGGAACCCAAAAUUCCAUACCCUUGGCUAGUUUUCAAUGACAAGGUUAAAGUGAAUUCAGUAUUUCUCCGGGAUUCAAUUGCGGUAUCUGAUUCCGUGCUUCUCUUAUUUGGAGGAAAGAUUUCUAAGGGCGGCCUGGAUGGACACUUGAAAAUGUUGGGAGGAUACUUGGAGUUUUUCAUGAAACCUUCCUUGGCAAAUACAUAUCUAAGAUUGAAGAAUGAGCUUGAAGAACUUAUUCAAAUGAAAGUAAGUAUUUUGCAACACAGUUAUGUUUGGCACAAGGGAUGGAUAAAUAUGGGCAAAGAGAAAGAGGGAUGGCGGAAGCAUCCCCUAAGGAAUAUGUUUAAUGCCGUUUUUGUUUUUCUUAGCUUGUUCAUUAAAGAAAACAAUCAUGAGCUGCUUCAGCUGUUGCAUGGAAGAUGAUAUGCACAAGGCUGCUGAUAAUGGACCAUUCAUGACAAAUACAGCAGGGUGAUAUCUCAUGUUGGCCAGUUUGUACAUCUAUCUUUGCUUGGUUUACUUGUGUGCUUAGUUUCCUUGCUCACUUUUUAUUCAGUUGCUUGGAUCUAUCUUGUGCGAUUGUAAGUCUUACAUAUUAGCAUCAUGCGCUUUCGUUUUAUACUUUCUAAGGCGUUUGAUUUCUUCCAAACUAACACGACGGAAAUUUAUCAUUACGGAAAUUUAUCAUUAGGAAACAAUGGAGGUUAUCAUGCUGCUGAAGCUGCAUCGAAGGACACAAAAACUGUAGAUGUUCAACCUAUUGCUGUCCCCUCCAUCCCAGUGGAUGAAUUGAAGGAAAUAACAGACAACUUUGCUGUGGAGGAGUGCUCAUAGAACUCCCAAGCAACCUAGAUCUUUUGGAUGAUAUUUCCUUUGUGAAGUUGGGCCUGUUGGAUAAUAUUUCCUUUGUGAACUCCCAAGCAUUUCAUCAUUUUUAUUUGCUUAUUAUUGUGCUAACCAAGAUUGUAGAAAAUUGAUGUGAAACUUUUGUUGAAAUCAUAAUUUUUUGCUUGUCUUUUUGAAUUUGUCUUUGAUAGGUUUGCAAUAUGUGAUAAAAUAUUUUUUCCUUUGGUUGUGUUUGUUGCUUGAUUUUGGUUGAGAAUAAUUAUGUAAAGUUUGACUAAAUUUACUCAAUAUAUUGAAAUAGCAGCAGACUUUUUUAUC